CGGCUUACCAAGGCGACGAUACGUAGCCGACCUGAGAGGGUGAUCGGCCACACUGGAACUGAGACACGGUCCAGACUCCUACGGGAGGCAGCAGUAGGGAAUCUUCCGCAAUGGGCGAAAGCCUGACGGAGCAACGCCGCGUGAGUGAUGAAGGUCUUCGGAUCGUAAAACUCUGUUAUUAGGGAAGAACAUACGUGUAAGUAACUAUGCACGUCUUGACGGUACCUAAUCAGAAAGCCACGGCUAACUACGUGCCAGCAGCCGCGGUAAUACGUAGGUGGCAAGCGUUAUCCGGAAUUAUUGGGCGUAAAGCGCGCGUAGGCGG
rnacentral:rRNA from 1 species